GGAUUGUCUUCUGGAUUGUCUAUGUUACAAUCCAAUCAUGUAAACAAUUUGCGCAAUGGUAUGUAUUGCAAGAUGAAGUACGUCAGCACUCCUUACCGCCAUCCAUGUAUACUGUGGGCUCGUUUCUUUUUCGCUGGCGCAAAAAUGGCGCCGAAUAGGACUUUUAAAGAAACUUUAUAAAAUACGAGUGAGUCGACAGUGGUCGGUGGAUUGGAAUUGAAAUCAGUGGUCGUGGCAGGAUUUUAUACUUUCUGAUCAACAAAUGAAGUGCAGAAAACUUUAAAUUCGAUUCAUUUUAGUGAAUUUUGUAGUUGAGCCAAAAUUUAAAGAACCUCGACAAACCUCGUGGCAACUCAGGAAAGCAA